GGUACUGAGUUUUUCCUGUUGUUUUUCGUCAAUGCGACUGUGACCUGGGAUGGCGACAUCAAUGAUCCAACCCCUUUUCUUUUCCACAACUGUGAUGUCUGGUGUGUUGUGUUCCAGACUGACAAAGUUCUGGAACACAACACACCAGACAUCACAGUUGUGGAAAAGAACAAGGUUUGGAUCAUUGAUGUUGCCAUCCCAGGUGACAGUCGCAUAGAUGAAAAACAACAGGAAAAACUCAGCCGCUAUCAGGACCUCAAGAUUGAACUUCAAAGACUCUGGCAGAAACCAGUACAGGUGGUCCCGGUGGUGAUGGGCACAUUGGGUGCUGUGCCAAAAGAUCUCAGCCGACAUUUGGAAACAAUAGACAUUGACAAAAUCACCAUCUGCCAACUGCAAAAGGCCACCCUACUGGGAUCUGCACACAUCAUCAGAAAAUACAUCACACAGUCCUAGACACUUGGGAAGUGUUCGACUUGUGGUUUUGCGAAACGAAAUCCAGCAUAUCUAUCUUGUUUGCUGUGCCAUACAACGUCGUUGUAAUAAUA
rnacentral:lncRNA from 1 species